GGGCUACAGUCCAUGAGGUUGAAAAGAGUUAGACAUGACCGAACAACUAGCACACACCCAUUACUUCAACAUAAUCUAUCCUAAGCUGGUUGGUACAGAAUCUAAUGAGGUUUUUUAUUUGGCCAAAGCACAGCUGCGAUACUAGCAUGAGUCGCAUGGUCUGAAGCCCAGGACCUGCUUUGUUUCUCCUUGAUGUCUUCUCUCUGCUCCUCUAAGUUUCUUUCUGCGAACAGCUCAGAAGUGAUAACCACUGUGUUGCUAUUUGAUAAUCACUGAGCUUAUCUAAAUUAAAUAGGGGUCCCCACACAGACAAGAUAAACCAUGGAAACAUGAUCACAGGUAAUCUAAUCCGAUGGUCUCAUUGCACGUUGGCCUGUAAUUUGAAGUCCAGAGACACAGGUUGGCUCGUCCAAGUUCACGCAGCGCGGGAGUGACAGCGUGAACUACGGAGCUAAUCUCAAGGCUUCUGGAGAGCAGUUUCCAUGAGGAGCCCCAGACUCUCCAAGGAAUUUCAAGAUGCUACAAUGAGCUCUGACACAAUAUUUUUCUCUUCUAAACAUUUGGAAAAGGACUCAUAUAUAUAACAGACACAGCAGGAAAACAGGCAUGAAGCAGUCAGGAUCAAAAUGAUAACUUGUCAGUCUGUUUCUAAGAGCUGAGAGGAGGCACAGGAGGGGCCUGAAUGCAGGCAAUAUUGGCCGCUUACUCUUGUUGGAUCGAACAGUAGGGCUUCUCAAAACAAACCAAGCGGAGCUCACGAACAUAUGCCUCUCCCUAUAGAGUUAUUUUUCUCCCGCAAAAGAAAAAGAGGCAACAUGAAUGCACAGUGAAAGGCCACUUUCUGGUUUCACUUCAGUUAGGAGAACUAAGCCUCUCUCCUUUCGAUUGUUACAAUAAAUGUGUCAGCACCAUUAUUUUUCAAUGCUUCUCCCUCAUUCAUCAUAAAAUAACACGAUGUUCUGUGCUUAGUCACUCAGCCACGUCUAACCCUUUGAGACCCCAUGGACUGCAGCUUG
rnacentral:lncRNA from 1 species